UGGCGAACGGGUGAGUAACGCGUGAGGAACCUGCCUCAAAGAGGGGGGAAACAGUUGGAAACGACUGCUAAUACCGCAUAAGCCCACGGGUCGGCAUCGACCUGAGGGAAAAGGAGCAAUCCGCUUUGAGAUGGCCUCGCGUCCGAUUAGCUAGUUGGUGAGGUAACGGCCCACCAAGGCGACGAUCGGUAGCCGGACUGAGAGGUUGAACGGCCACAUUGGGACUGAGACACGGCCCAG
rnacentral:rRNA from 1 species